rnacentral:lncRNA from 1 species
GUGUGCCAAGCCCCCAUGGGCCGUGCCAAUGCUGCACAGUCUGCUCUGUUGGUGCCCAGAACGAGAUGGUUGUGGGAGGCAGAGCUGGCUGAGCACCUUAGCAAAUCUGCUUUCCCUGGCAGCAUCCUGUGUGCCUGGAGGUGCCCCCAGCCUGCCCUCCCAGGGAUCUGCAGAGGGAACAUGCCCUGCUGGAUGAACAAGAGCAACAUUCCUACCCUGAUGAUCUUGCAGCAAGAACAAACGAAUACUAGAGAGAACUGAGGCGAAAUACAAGCAGGAUUCAGAUGGCAAACACAACCAGAGAGUGUGCUGGGAAUGAGUGGUUUAUGUUCAGGAUAUCUCACCCAUGGGGACAUGCAUUCUGGAGUCAAGAGCAAUUGAGUUUGGUCCUGGGAUGCCUCAAGGAACUGUGUGAUGGCAUGGAUGUUCUCCUUAACCUUUUCAUCAUCCGUGGGUCCCCUCUCCACUGCCUGCUGCACCAUCCCCAAGCUUGUUCAGGAAACCACUUGCCAAAUCUGUCAGAUCAGCCAGGUGAACUCAUCCUCACUCUUUUGCCUAUGGGGAAAGAAAGAGGUAAUAAAGCUCCUCCAAAACAGACUGAACAGAAGCCAUUAUUUUAUGUCCAGGCCUUGCUGAGUAAUAAUGAUCUGCCUUUAACCACCCACUCGUGCCUCUGUUUAUCCCCCUGUUCGUUCAUGACCUUCACUCAUUGUAUUCUGUUGAAUUGAGCUUGUAUAUUCCUGACACACAGGAGCUGCAUCUUCAUUCAUUUGUGGUAAAUGCCUGAGACACUCAGGGCACUUGAAAUUAAAUAAUCAGCAGUGAAACAAAAGACCCCAAUUGGGCACACAGGCACAUUGUCUGUUUUAUUUGCAGAUAAGUUCUGUCUAAAAGCCAGCAAUGCGUGAUGUUUCUUGCUGCUUUUUCAGUUUAAAGCAGAUGUUGUACACAAUAUUAGAAACCAUAUCCUUGCAGGCUGUGAAGUAAUGAGGGCAAGAAGUGAGAAGUGAAGAGCUGGGAUAUCUCCUGCUUUAUUUAGGUGAGGCUUUGGGGAAGGAAGGAGUGUAGAGUGAGGGCCCUGCAUUUGAGCAAAACGUUCUGUGCUUUUAUGCUUUUUGAGGCUGAGUGUCUGUCCAGUUGAGGAUGAUGUGUGAAAGGGAGGCUACAAAGGGAGGAAGGGAGUGAGGGAAGGAGGGGAAGAAAUAAAGGUUUUAGUGCUCUAAGUUGGAUCUACA